CCUAGGAAGGGGCAAGGGUCACUACAAUGUUAAUUGGUGUCUGCAGAUCAGACCCAUUUUUCUAUAGUGAAUAAUUUAAAAACAAUGUCAUUCAUUAAAUGAACCAAUGCCCUUGACUUCUUAAAAGAGGUGAAGGGAAUUAAUCACAGUAAGUUCUCUGAACAUAAAAAUUAACUAAGUUUAUAGUGCUGGAACUGAUGUGUGUGCGAUAACAGUACAUUAUAUUUGAAAGGAUGACCAGAAGACAGCAGCAGGAAUUAAACUAAAGCCAAGAAACUGAGCACAGCUCCUUGGACAAAUCUUAAUCUUGGCUGAUGCCAUAUCUGGUGGGGGUGAGCUGAAGUGUACUUCACUGUGCAUAGAGAGAGAAACCUGCUUUUGAAACUCCUUCCAGAAGCAUACUAUCUUUUCAUUUUUCCACCACAAAGAGAGCUCCCAGAUGAUUAUGCACUCUUCUGCCCAGUGAACAAAAGGAAGCAUAAUCUGGACUAACUACAGGUUGAAUAUCCCAGGUUCUUCUCAGGUUAUGGUUGGCUGAGCUAUACUUAUUGAACACCUGCUGUAAAUAACCAUCAUGAAGAUGAAGCCUUGUAGGUUCCAAUUGUGGUUUACCCACAGAGUGUUCUGGGCAAAUCACUCUGUGAUUCUGUUUUCCGUGUCAUUAAAAGAGGAGAGUAUUACCACCCUCCUAAAAUGGGUAUUGUGAGGAUUAAAUGGAAACAAAAUAGGUUUUGUGGAAAUUGUAAAUGUUACCUUAACACUACACCAAUGUUAGUUAUUUUUUCCCAGUAUCUGAAAUUUGGGAGGAAAGAAUAAAAGACAGAAAAAUGAAAAAGAAGAGGAAGAGAAGGAAGAAGAGAGGAAGGACAUGUUUGCUUCUCCUGCCAUGGCUGGAAGUUUCCUGAGGCCUCCCCAGCCAUCCUGAACUAGGUACCUGGUGCCAGUUCCUGAGACUUGAGGAUUCUGGUUGGUUCUCAGCACAGGAGUCAGCCUGCUCUGAUUUGCUAGUGCGUCUAGAGUGUUGACAGUUGUUUCCAUGGACUUCAAAUCAACCCAACCCUGUGAGCACAGACUUUCAGCACCAGAGUCAGAUUUCCCAAAAAUGCUAUUCUUGAAGCGUAGAGCCAGACUCACAGAUCCUGUAAAGAAAACAGAUCUUUCAGCAAGUGAAACACCCAAUCUUCCAUUGCAUGGGACUCACAGAGGUUCUGAGGGAGAGAUGUGAAUAGAAGGAGUGAUCAUCACUGUGGACUCUAUUUCUUCCAUCUGUGCGUGCAAGAUUUAUAUCUGUAUGUGUUUGUUUUAAAGUUUUAUUGAGGUAUAAUUGAUACACAAUAAUCUGUACCUAUUUAAUGUAUACAAUUUGAUGAGUUUGGACAUACUUAAAUACCUGUGAAACCAUCACCACAAUCAAGGUAAUAGACAUAGCCAUCACCUCCAAAAGUUUCUUUGUGUCCCUUUGUGGUUUGUUUCUGAGAUAAGAACACUUAACAUGUGGACUCUUGACACUCUCCUUGGAUCUCUUAAUUUGAUUGCUGUUGCUGUCACCACAUUGACUUCCUAGCCCUGCUGAUCCUCCUUUAUCACUAGCUCUAGAAAAAAAAACAAACCAAACACCACUAAUUCAUUUAUUCAGUAAUUCAACAAAAAAACCAUUGAGCACUUAAUAUUUGCAGAAUACAUGGCUAGAUGCAGAGGAUUCAAAGAAUUGAGUGAAGUCACAUAAAGUGUUAAGAACAGUGUGUGAUACAAACAUGAAAUAUGUUAGCUGUUAGAAUUUCAAACUCACUUCCAUAUCAAUUAUAAUAAGGAUUUCCAUAAAUAGCAGAAUAGUAUUUCUAUUAGAUGCUCACAGAUGCUAAUAAAACAGUAGAAUGGUAAAAACCAUGCAUCCCCCAAGGCAAGAGAAGGUGAGCUAUUUUGCCUCGGUGGCUCAAUAUUCCAUCAAUGGGUCCUGCUUUAAACUGCAAGUACCUGCCUUCCUUCUUUCAACAGACUGACUCCACGUUGCUUUAGGAAAGAUUCACUGAAACAAAGGAAUAAACCACCCAAGAUAUAGUGUUUUUAAAAACAUUUUUUAAUGAAGAAAUUAUUCCACUCCAAAAUAUAGACACACAAUUAAAUAGUUUAAUCACUUCAAAAUAUAACAUGUCCCCAGGAGGUUCCAACACACACACACACACACACACACAAAACAAUACUUAACAGCAAUACAAAAAUCCAUACAAUAGUAUUUUUUUUUUACAAUACCAAUGAAUAUUGUGAAAUCUUUAGUGUCUCUGAAUUGAUUAUUUCAAAUGGUGUCAAAUUGCAGUAGUCAUAAUUAAAAAUGUCUUACAGUUAAUUCGCCUCAA
rnacentral:lncRNA from 1 species